AAUGGCAAGAUGUUUAACUAUCGAUAGCAGCAAGCACGAUGUGGUGAUAUCGAUAAUGGCAUCGAUUGCUGCCACAAGAUUAGUCUGUUUGGCGCAAUUGUAACGCGAAGAUCGUGUGUCUCUCUUUCAGUGUGUCAGAGAAACGGUCGCGAGUUCAAGUUCUCCGGCUAAAAGGCAGCUUAAUACAUUUGAUUGCGAUUGUUAAUCACGCUCAUACGAUUAAGUACGAAAUUAUUUUGGCUAAUCUAGUACUACACAAGUAAUUGCUGGCUGGCAUUGUUAUUGUUGUGGCCGGUGCCGGGGCAACAGAAUCGUUACAGCGCGGCUGUUCCUUCUAAAUUUAUUUAUUUAUUUUUUGUUGUUGUUUUAUAUUUUGUUUAGUUUGAGAUGUGUCGCAAUUAAAUAAUCUACAUACAAACAUAAUUAUUAUUUAAUUGUAAAAAAAAAUAAAAAUAAAAUACAAAGUAAACAGCAAGAGCCACAGCGUCGGCUGCCAGCAGAGUGAAGUGCGCGAACGUAAAGUAAAGCGCGAUACGCGAAUUAAUGUAAAGUGUGUGUGGAGUGUGUGCGUGCAAUUCGGAAUUGGAGCAAUAGCCGCAACGGCAACGGCAGCGGCCAACGCCACCAAUUUUCCAACUCGUCGCGAUAUUUGCGCUCUGCCCGGCACGUACCAAUCACAUUGCUUAUGUAUGUGUGACUCUGUCUGUGUGUGUGUGUGGUGUGUGUGGGGCUUGGAGCUGCCCACCUGCCGCAUAGGCAAAUCGAGCACGUUAAUUAAAUGUCAACAGUUUGGAAAUUGAGAAGCGCGCGGGUCGCGAAAGGACGCGGAGCUGAGAGCGAAAUUGAAACUGAAAUCGAAGCGGA